AGUGAACGCUGGCGGUAGGCCUAACACAUGCAAGUCGAACGGCAGCACAGCAAGAGCUUGCUCUUACGGGUGGCGAGUGGCGGACGGGUGAGGAAUACAUCGGAAUCUACUUUUUCGUGGGGGAUAACGUAGGGAAACUUACGCUAAUACCGCAUACGACCUACGGGUGAAAGCAGGGGAUCUUCGGACCUUGCGCGAUUGAAUGAGCCGAUGUCGGAUUAGCUAGUUGGCGGGGUAAAGGCCCACCAAGGCGACGAUCCGUAGCUGGUCUGAGAGGAUGAUCAGCCACACUGGGGCUGAGACACGGUCCAGACUCCUACGGGAGGCAGCAGUGGGGAAUAUUGGACAAUGGGCGCAAGACUGAUCCAGCCAUACCGCGUGGGUGAAGAAGGCCUUCGGGUUGUAAAGCCCUUUUGUUGGGAAAGAAAAGCAGCAGGUUAAUACCCCGCUGUUCUGACGGUACCCAAAGAAUAAGCACCGGCUAACUUCGUG
rnacentral:rRNA from 1 species